CAGCGUGGGAGGAGGCCAACUCUCGGGGCGCUCCCUAGCCCUGGGUGGGUGGAGCGGGGGAAGCGGAGUACGUUGGACCCGGCUCCGCCCUACCCCACGGGGCCGCCUGGAGAGGUGCUGGGAGCUGGGUGGAGCUUAGAGGAAUUAAACUUUGGCCCUGCGCCUCGUCCAGCCUAGGUUCCACCCUUUUCUGGGAACGUGAGUAUCAACCAAGUUUACACCCCGCCACUCCUGAGCACCGCACACCGGCUUCCUCCCAGUCCCUCAUCUGAGAACUCAUGAAGCCACUUGGAAUCCCUCUCUGCUUUGCCUGGCUCAUUCCAUGUCAAUUUCAGAUCUUCACUUCAGGUCAGCUCCAAGGAGGCUAUCCUUGCCCAUCUUCCUAAAAUAGAGCUCUCAAAACCUGGCUGUUUUCCUUCAGAGCACUGGCCUCCAAUUGCUCCGGUAGAUUGCAAAUGACCUGCUUUCUUUCUGUUCCCGGGCGUUUGGACCCCUGUCUUGGACCGCUGUCGGAUAGUAAAUCCCAAGUAAGGUACCUGCCGUUGGCAGAUUUGAGCUUUCUUCUUGGACACCUAAUACCCACAGUCCUCCAGGCUCCGGUAGAUUGCAAAUGACCUGCUUUCUUUCUGUUCCCGGGUGGCAUCGACCCGUCGGAGAGUAAAUCCCAAGUAAGGUACCUGCCGUUGGCAGAUUUGAGCUUUCUUCUUGGACACCUAAUACCCACAGUCCUCCAGUAACUCCCAAGUAAGGUACCUGCCGUCGGCAGAUUGGAGCUUUCUUCUUGGAGACCUAAUACCCACAGUCCUCCAGAAAAACAAACAAAGACAUGGAUUUACUGUGCAUAUUAGCAGAUCCAUACUGGAAAAUGCAUGGAGGUUUCAUAUACACCACUUACAGAUGCAGAAAGGCAGUGAACUCCUCCGGAGUAGCUGUCAGGUCACCAUUGAGGUCUGCAGCUUUGAAUCUUCUCUCAUCACGUGGCAGCAUCUUUUUAAAGGUGUGAUGAUCUGAAGAAUCAUGAAACUCUGCGGGGUUUCCUAGGUUUUCAGCUCCUCAGUAGUGACAAAGCCAUACCCAUCAUUGUCGAUUCGAUCAACAAUCUUCCCUAGCCUCUCCUUGCUCUCGUCCGGGGUGAGCUCGUCGAAGUUCUUGGAGUCCUCCUUGCCCAGGAAGGCCUCGUGGUCGUACUGGAAGCUCUGGUUGUCCUCAGGGGGCCGCUCGCCCAGCUCCGAGUCGGGCCGCACCACGCGCUCUUUGCGCACCGUGGGCUUGGCCCGCAGAACCCGCGGCGCCAGCACCAGCGCCAGCAGCAGCCCCAGGGCUAACCCCAGGCGGCCACCGCGCGCCAUCGUCCCGAGGAGAGGGCGGCCGGGAGGGAGACGCUGAGCGAGCGACAACAGCGGCAGCUCGGGAAUGGGGGCUCGGAGCGCGGCGGCCAAGUUUUAUGUUAUGUAUAUUUUACAAGUAAAAAAAUUUUUUCACCUCAGCCUGAACUGAACACUAGCUGACAGACGUUUUGAUUUCUUUGACCAUCACGGAAUCGUGGCCAAGCGCGGUGGCUCACAUCUGUAAUCCCAACACUUUGGGAGGUCAAGAUGGGCGGAUUGCUUGAAUCCAGGUGUUUGAGAU
ensembl:lncRNA TPT1-AS1 TPT1 antisense RNA 1